GAUGAACGCUGGCGGCGUGCUUAACACAUGCAAGUCGAACGAAGCACCUCUCCCGAAGAUUGACACAGCUUGCUGUAGUUUGAUUCAUUUUAGGUGACUGAGUGGCGGACGUUUGAUUAACGCGUGUGUAACCUGCCUCAUAGAGGGGGACAACAGUUGGAAACGACUGCUAAUACCGCAUAUUAAGAAGAAUUCUCAUGUUUUCUUCUUUAAAGAUUUAUCGCUAUGAGAUGGACCCGCUUCUGAUUAGCUAGUUGGUAAGGUAACGGCUUACCAAGGCGACGAUCAGUAGCAGGCUUGAGAGAGUGAACGGCCACAUUGGGAGUGAGACACGGACCAAACUCCUACGGGAGGAAGCAGUGGGGAAUAUUGCAAAAUGGGGGAAACCCAGAUGCAGCGACGCCGCGUGAGUGAAGAAGUAUUUAGGUAAGUAAAGCUCUAUCAGAAGGGAAGAUAAUGACGGUACCUGACUAAGAAGCACCGGCUAACUACGUG
rnacentral:rRNA from 1 species